rnacentral:rRNA from 1 species
GAUGAACGCUGGCGGCGUGCUUAACACAUGCAAGUCGAACGGGAAUUAUUUUAUUGAAACUUCGGUCGAUUUAAUUUAAUUCUAGUGGCGGACGGGUGAGUAACGCGUGGGUAACCUGCCUUAUACAGGGGGAUAACAGUCAGAAAUGGCUGCUAAUACCGCAUAAGCGCACAGAGCUGCAUGGCUCAGUGUGAAAAACUCAGGUGGUAUAAGAUGGACCCGCGUUGGAUUAGCUUGUUGGCAGGGUAACGGCCUACCAAGGCGACGAUCCAUAGCCGGCCUGAGAGGGUGAACGGCCACAUUGGGACUGAGACACGGCCCAGACUCCUACGGGAGGCAGCAGUGGGGAAUAUUGCACAAUGGGGGAAACCCUGAUGCAGCGACGCCGCGUGAAGGAAGAAGUAUCUCGGUAUGUAAACUUCUAUCAGCAGGGAAGAUAGUGACGGUACCUGACUAAGAAGCCCCGGCUAACUACGUG